rnacentral:misc_RNA from 1 species
AAAAAGGGUCUGACGACUGCCCAAACCAUACCGUGAACCAUUUUUCUUAUUGAUGCUCUGGCAGGCCGCCCGCUGGGGGGGCUCAGGCCGCGGUUUCGCGGUGGUCUGCCGGUGGCUCGCAAACCAAAACUCUUUUGAACGUCUCUCUGAGAAUAUCUAACUCCUCUUAGCGGGAGAAAAAAAAGUCA